rnacentral:tRNA from 1 species
GAGGUGUGGCCGAGUGGUUUAAGGCAACGGUCUUGAAAACCGUCGAUGGGGAGACCUGUCCUAGAGUUCGAAUCUCUACACCUCCGCCAU